UCCCCUAUAGACUUGCUAUUGCUGCUUUGAAGCCCAUCAGAUUAUUUCUUUAGUCUUGACGUUCGGUAACCUUUCUUCUCUUUGUUUUUUCUGAGGACAGGAUAUGCUUUCUCAUUAGGGAGACUAAACACUUUCAUUAUCUCAAGCAAGCGUUCGUUCCUGGUUUACAUCAAAUAUUUCUUUCUGUUCCACUUCAGUCUCUUCUCAUCUCCAGGAACUCUAGCUAUGUGUGUGCUUUCUCUUUAUCUCUCCAGGCUUCCUUUUGAGAGAAUUCCUGAGUCCUGCCAUGCUCUCAGUUCUGUCCUGUGAGGAAUUGAACCUCAGGGUUACCAGCCUCAGGAAAGCCAUGAUAUUGCGAACCAUGGUCCCCAUCUUCUUCAUCAUCCCUGUUGGAACACCUGCUGGGCUCACGGCUCUCGAGUGUGCUAUUCCGCAUAUCUGCUUUGUGCUUCUUGAAAGGGCACAACAUAUAAAAUAGGCAAUUCCAGUCUGCUUGGGUGGGAAGAAAAGACAGACUUACGCACAGAUAAAUUGCCAUUUUCCUUGGUUUCGGCUUCAUCUGGAAAGUGGAUACAAAAUAUCACAGUGCAUAUGGGGAAGUAUUUUAAACCAAAUUAUAGCCACUGUAACGUGGUGGCAUCUCCACGGGUCCCCAUGCCAUGAUCCACACCUACAGAUCCGCCACCACUUAGAACACCCUGGGGAUCACACGCGGAUACCAAGGAAACAUCGGGAGCAGAAGGCCAGCAGGGGACGGAGCGAGAAAGACCCAGAAGUGAGGCGACCUCUUCCUCAUUUCCAAUCAUUGGCAGUGGCAUAAGAAUCCACGAAUUUAGAACCAACUGAGAGGGAAGAAGAUUAGGAAGAAAAACUCUGGAAAAAGGCAUAUCCCUAAUGAUAGCUGUUUAACUCUGAAGAAUC